GUGACUAUAGCUCAGUUGGUAGAGUUCUGGAUUGUGGUUCCAGAUGUCAUGGGUUCGAAUCCCAUUAGUCACCCA
rnacentral:tRNA from 1 species